GCGUCUCCCAUUCCAUUGAGCUGCCACCCAGAUCGAAGGCGGCCGCCGCUCUUCCCCGUCGACUUCCACCUCCCCUCCGCCGUCCCCUUCUCCAUCGGGCCAAGCUCCACCCGCUCCCGAGCCCCACGCACAAGAUCGAUCUCCGCCGCCAUGGUGUUUCCUUGACUGAAACUUUGUUUCUCUGCAGAGGAGCAGCAGUUUCUUUUGGGAGGCGUUCUAGUACUAGAACCGCCGGUACGGCAGCUUCUCCGGCCACAUCCGUUGGUGCUACCUUGGGAGGGGCUGCAGUUUUCAGGUUCAAAUCAUACUGGAAGAGGAGAUGAGGGGUGUGAAGGGGAGGUACCGGGAGGCGGUGUCGGAGGAAGCGUGGUGGCGAACACCAUCGGCAACAUCCUGAAGUGCAGCGUGGGGGCACUCAGGUGGCUGAGAAUCGACUAGUAUACUGAUUGCAAUUGUUCAGUAUAUGGAGCCUUCCAUUUGUUCUUCAAGAAUUGAUGCAUGAAUUUGUUCUAGAUUAAAUGCAUGACUUGGUUCAGACCCUUGAUUGGACAGGAAUUUGCCAUGUUCCCUAGCAUUGCUUCUUGUUCAUGGACAGCAAGUUGUUCUUAUGUGAAGAUUGAGAUAGAUCUGAUGCGUAUUAUUUGACCAUACUUGAACUUUUGUGUACAAUAUCAUUGCCCUAUUAUUUUGCAGCCUUUUCGAAAUAUUUGUAUUUGUUUUGCUGAUCGUGCUCUGUUUCUUGUACGAGGAUAACAAGGAGGACUGAACGACCGUGGUUGCCCCUUCUUUGACUCCAUGUGUUUUACGGGGAAGUUUCUAGCUCCUCUGUGUGAUUUCCAAGUCUUUUGUAGUCUUUAGACCUCAAAUAAGUGUGAAGUUUGAAUUGCUUUCUUGGAUAUAGUGGAUGUACUUGCUUCUGUGAAAUGAAGCUUGAGUUUAUGGCAGGUUUUCGCGGUGGCGGCAGCCGUGGCUCACCUCUGGCUGCUUUUGGUCAAGCCGUUCAGGCUUGUGGUGGUGCAUCUGGUAGACAAGCAAUGUAAGCUCUGAAACGCCGAUACUCCAUCUGGAAAAUUUCUGAGCUUGGCGCCCUCCCAAAUGUUUGCCUGAUGGCUGUUUGUUGUGUCUGACGCGCGCACCAUUUUCAGAAGCUAAUGUUUACUGGUUGGUAUGUGUUUUUUUGCUUUCGGUUGAAGCAUUUGUAUACAUGUAUACAAAUGCUUUCUCUUGUCUGUUUUGCUCGUCGUUACGGUCGGGCGUCGCCGCUGCUGCUGCUGGUGCCGUGAUGGAUUCUUGUUAUGUGUUAGAAGGGCGACAGCUUAUUGUUGUACAAUAAUGUAAUGAUGAUGAUGUAUUCUUUUGAGUAUUGUGCGGUGUUUGUUUCA